AGAUUUACCCGCCUGGAGUGAUAACAGAGAUAACUCAAACAAGACUGGUGCUUAUGAUCCUAAUAAAAUUUAUGGUGUAGUCAAUAAAAACACCAACAAAGGAACAACAACUUUCCAGCAAAACCCAGAACAACCGCCUUAUAGUUUACCCGAUCAACAUGUGAUUUAUUUACAAGUUCAACACAAUCCUAUUGUUGAAAGUCAAGACAUACCAGCAGCCGCACUAACUGUAGAAUAUGCAGAAAUAAAUUACGCUACCAAAAAGCAACAUAACUAACACGGACAAAUUUUACUUGGAAUUACUAUCAAGGUCCUGGAUAUUAGUUUUCUGUCACAGCGCGGACGAAUUCGUAAGCGAAUGUUGACAAGAAUUUUAAUCGCCAUUCAUCCGUUAAAAAAAAUAGCAUGCACGAGGACUCAAAAACUCUCAAGUAUAUCCCUAUGUAAUUAUGGUUGAUUUUUUUUUUAAAAGAUGCAUUAUGCCAGAUUUAGAUAAAGAGCUGGUCGUAAUUGCUAUAAUAGUUCAAAAAUAGAUAAUUCAAAAUUAAAUAUUAAUCAAGUUAUCACUGUUCGAAGUUUUGACAAGAUGUGUCAAAUAAUGUUCAUUACCGUAGCAACGUUAUUUGUUAAUCGAGACUCAGUCUCACUUCUCCAUUUUUAUAUUAAACCAUUACAUGGCGAUCGCAUUUCAAUCGACAGUCCAAUAAAUGGAUUAUAGGCUUGUCAUGUGAAUAAAUGGAUUAUAGGCUUGUCAUGUGAAUAAAUGUCUAAAUAAUAAACUUUAUAAGAUUUAAAGCCAAAAUAAAAAUCUACAAUUCGCAGAUUUAGCUCUUACAUAAUGCAUCGUUAAUAUUUACAAAACAUUUUUAUUAUUCCACAAUUUCUUUAUUAUUCCAUAUGUAUUUUUAAACAAUAUUUAACAUUCUUUUAUAUUAGCUAUAUUUUUCAGGUUUAAGAACUUGCAUGCACGAGGACUUAUAUUAGAUAUAUUUUUCAGGUUUAAGAACUUGCAUGCACGAGGACUUAUAUUAGAUAUAUUUUUCAGGUUUAAGAACUUGCAUGCACGAGGAUUUAUAUUAGAUAUAUUUUUCAGGUUUAAGAACUUGCAUGCACGAGGACUUAUAUUAGAUAUAUUUUUCAGGUUUAAGAACUUGCAUGCAUGGGGACUUAUAUUAGAUAUAUUUUUCAGGUUUAAGAACUUGCAUGCACGAGGAUUUAUAUUAGAUAUAUUUUUCAGGUUUAAGAACUUGCAUGCACGAGGACUUAUAUUAGAUAUAUUUUUCAGGUUUAAGAACUUGCAUGCACGAGGACUUAUAUUAGAUAUAUUAUUCACGUUUAAGAAUUUGCAUGCAUGGGGACUCAUAAACUGUCAUGUAAUAUAGUAGAUUUGUUAAAUAUUUAUAUAAAAAGUUUUAUUAUUCUAUAAUUUAUUAGUUUGUAUUUUUCCACAAUAUUUAAUAUAUAUCUGUAUAUUAGCUAUAUUUGUUCACUUUAAGAAUUUGCAUGCAUGAAGACUUAUAAACUGUCAUGUAAAUGAUAGUAGAUUUGUUAAAUAUUUCUAAAAAAAUAAAUAUUAUU